rnacentral:rRNA from 1 species
AGCCUAUUGAAUUUAUAGUAGGUGAUUUCUGCCCGGUGAUUUUUUUUUAACGGCCGCGGUAUUCUGACCGUGCAAAGGUAGCAUAAUCAUUUGUUUUUUUAUUGAGGACUGGAAUGAAUGGGUUUACGUAGAGAAUGUUGUCUCGCUGUUUUUUGUUGAAUUUUCUUUUUAGAUGAGGAAGUCUAUAUUUUAAGAAAAGACGAGAAGACCCUAUUGAUCUUUGUAUUUACUUAUUAUAAUUUCGUAUUAUUUUUAUUUUUUUUAAAUUUGGUUGGGGCAACUGAGGAGGUUUUUUAUUCUCCUUUAAGUAUAUUUUGAUCCAGUGUUAUUGAUAGUAAGAAUAAGUUACCAUAGGGAUAACAGCGUAAUUUUUUUGGAG